AAUAUGACUAAGCUGAACUUCCUUGGGCAAUACAUUAAUGUUGUUAUUUGAGAAGUGACCAAGCACAACAAUUAAAAGAGCAACAGCAAGAAAUCCUGUAUCCAACGUAUCUGAGUUAACUAAACCAUCUGCAAGGAUUUGGUAACGGUUAGAAAAAACAGAUGGAGGAUAAAAGUAAAAAAAACUUUGAUACCGGAGGAAAAACUCAUUUGCAUAACGUUCUGCGACAGAAACCGGUGGUAACAAAUUAUGUGCUAUUUUCUUUAGAGCUUUUAAUGAAAAAGAUGAGUGAUUGGAGGUCAAAUUUAUAAUUGAAUAUUCAUGAGUUCCUUGUGAAGAAGCUGAACCUACAGAUACUGAAGUAGGGGUCGAUUGAAGUGUGUUUAGUUCUAAAGGCAAUAAAGAGGAAGAGAGAUCCUCCGGAAUUUUACUUUGAUAGUCAAUGAGCAGUGAUUCUGGGGUAUUGCUUGAAUUUAACUGUAAGGAUGCUAAAACAGAAUUUAAAAAAUAAGUGCUUGACGUCGGACUUAAAUAUAUGGGUUCUCCUAGAGCAUCUAAGAAUGAACGUACAGGAAGUAUGGGUUGGGAAUUGAUUAUUAAAUUAUUGGCACUUCUAAUAACCUUAUCUUGGUUCACAUGAAUUGCAUUAGCAGAUAUAUUUUCAGUAAACUUGAUGGAAGUAUUAAGAUCAGUGUUUUGAAUAGAUGAGAAAUUUGAAUCCGAAGAGGGGGGAGUAGAUGAAGAAGGAAAAGAAACGUUUGCUGACUUGACAGCAGACGAAUCGUCUUUAUUGUUUGUAGCAGCAACCUUUAAAACAGAUUGAUCAAUUGACCCGGGUAUUAGCAAAGAACGAACGUCGCUUCCAGAAGCUAAUGAAGAUUCGACAUGUUUGCAUAGUUUGACUAAACUACGUGUGUCAUGAGGAAGAGAAGGACACAGCAAUUCCAUCAGAUAUUCGAAGCAUUUCUGCCUUUGACUCAGUUCCGCAAUAAAUUGUUUUGAGGGAGUACGCUCUUUUAAAGAAUCAGCAUACUUACAUUGCGAAGGCGUAGCAAUGCAAGCCUGACAUGGUUCAGAACCACUGCAUCGAAUUUUCUUGGCCCGACAAGACAGACAUGCCCGCCUUACUCUUCUUCUACUGUCCAAAGGAACACGCCUUCUUUGUUUAUACUCUUCCUCUUUGGCUUCUAAAAACAAAGAACGACUAGAAAAGUCAGAGGGACACAUAAACUUCGCAUAAUAACAAUUGCUACAUUUAAGAUUUUCAUAUAGGUAAAUCAAUUUCGCUGUCGGUCACAGGUACCCGAAGGUGGUAAGUAGCAAUGCUACUUCAAUUUUAAAUAGUAUGCAUCAGCAAAAUUAAAUUUGCUAGUAAGCUCUGUCAAGUCCCCAGGUUAAUAUAAAUGUAUUAAAUGC